CACGUAGGGCGCAAGCGUUGUCCGGAAUUAUUGGGCGUAAAGAGCUCGUAGGCGGUCUGUUACGUCUGCUGUGAAAACCCAGGGCUUAACCCUGGGCUUGCAGUGGAUACGGGCAGACUAGAGGCAGGUAGGGGAGAAUGGAAUUCCCGGUGUAGCGGUGAAAUGCGCAGAUAUCGGGAGGAACACCGGUGGCGAAGGCGGUUCUCUGGGCCUGACCUGACGCUGAGGAGCCGAAAGCGUGGGGAGCGAACAGG
rnacentral:rRNA from 1 species